rnacentral:rRNA from 1 species
CUACGGGCUGCAGCAGUGGGGAAUUUUGGACAAUGGACGCAAGUCUGAUCCAGCCAUUCCGCGUGCAGGACGAAGGCCUUCGGGUUGUAAACUGCUUUUGUACAGAACGAAAAGGUCUCUAUUAAUACUAGGGGCUCAUGACGGUACUGUAAGAAUAAGCACCGGCUAACUACGUGCCAGCAGCCGCGGUAAUACGUAGGGUGCAAGCGUUAAUCGGAAUUACUGGGCGUAAAGCGUGCGCAGGCGGUUAUGUAAGACAGAGGUGAAAUCCCCGGGCUCAACCUGGGAACUGCCUUUGUGACUGCAUAGCUGGAGUGCGGCAGAGGGGGAUGGAAUUCCGCGUGUAGCAGUGAAAUGCGUAGAUAUGCGGAGGAACACCGAUGGCGAAGGCAAUCCCCUGGGCCUGCACUGACGCUCAUGCACGAAAGCGUGGGGAGCAAACAGGAUUAGAUACCCUUGUAGUC